rnacentral:rRNA from 1 species
UAGGGAAUAUUGGACAAUGGGGGCAACCCUGAUCCAGCCAUGCCGCGUGAGUGAAGAAGGCCCUCGGGUUGUAAAGCUCUUUUGUCCGGAAAGAAAAGCAUUCGGUGAAUACCCGGAUGUUCUGACGGUACCGGAAGAAUAAGCACCGGCUAACUUCGUGCCAGCAGCCGCGGUAAUACGAAGGGUGCAAGCGUUACUCGGAAUUACUGGGCGUAAAGCGUGCGUAGGUGGUUGUUUAAGUCUGAUGUGAAAGCCCUGGGCUCAACCUGGGAAUGGCAUGGGAAACUGGGCAGCUAGAGUGCGGUAGAGGGUAGUGGAAUUCCCGGUGUAGCAGUGAAAUGCGUAGAGAUCGGGAGGAACAUCUGUGGCGAAGGCGACUGCCUGGACCAGCACUGACACUGAGGCACGAAAGCGUGGGGAGCAAACA